UCAAUGGUUGGCUAGGGUUCCGGUUCGCAUGCCAUGCAUGCGGAUGUCUGGUCCGAGAGCUGGCGACCUCGGUUCGGGGUUACACGGCGGGACAAAAGCCCGGGAGAG
rnacentral:sRNA from 2 species